GGGUGCGGGACCGCAUAGGGUGGAGUACGCGUGCGCAGCGGGCGGCGCUUGCGCAAUGCGGCGGCAGCAGGGGGCGGUGGCGCUCGCCCCGAGUCGCCUGAGGUUUCAUUCCAAAGAAACUGUGUCCCCAUUUCUGUAUGAAUGUUCCAAGUUUAUUUCCUUUUAUGUUCUUACGAACACCAUCGUGGAGACCAUGGAUUCUGAAGAAGCAGCAAUUUUCUCUGCUCAGAGUGCCCUUACUUCAGGCAGCAGGAAAGAAGAACUCUUUCAAUCUCAUUGGACUAACUGAGGCAGAAUUAAAAGAAACAUUUGUAAGAGGUGAUGGCCCAGGAGGUCAAGCCACAAAUAAGACAAACAACUGUGUUGUCUUGAAGCAUAUUCCAUCUGGGAUUGUAGUGAAGUGUCAUCAAACAAGAUCAGUGGAGCAGAACCGAAAGAUAGCCAGAAAAAUCCUGCAGGAAAAAGUUGACCUUUUCUACAAAGGUGAAGACAGUGAUGUUUUUAAAGAGAAUAAAGCGUCAGAGAAGAAGAAGCAGGAGAAAAAAAGAAGAGCAAAGGAAAACCUAGAAAGGAAAAAGCAUUUUAAAGAGAUGCAACAAUUGGAUAAGAAAUAAACGUGAAAUACUGACUUGCCCUAGUAGGGUAAGGGAAACGUUUGUCAUUACACCUAAACACAGUUUUCAAACUAGCAGAUGAUGUAGGGCUUCAUAAGCAGAACUGAAAUACUGAGUAUUGACCUGCUAUUACUGUAAAACUGACGUGAUAAAAGCAGUCAUGUAUUCCUAAUUCUGUCUGCCAUCGUCUCAUUAAUGACUUUUAGCAAUCAGUUUUUCUGCCAAGUUCCGAAGAUGAUGAACCAAUCCUUGUUAAAAAGGAACUAUAACCUCUCCACCAUUGUUAAUGGAGACAAAAAAAUUCAAUACAUCUACUGCCCAGCUGAUACCUUAUGAUGCUUUGUAGGAGUUCCAAUACAUACAGAGAACAGCCCUAAAGGGUUAUAACUUUCCAUCCUUACUCAACCAAUGCCUCUACUGACACAAAUCCUUUAUAAACAGUGACCAGGUUCAGAUACUGGUUCUGAUGGUGUAAACAGACAUGCUGAUGAAAGAGACACCAGUUGCUGGUUGCCUCCUUCAGAUCUGUUAGCUGAACAAAUGCUCUGUCCUACUCCAUUAUGAAUGAAGUUUAAACAGAAGCUUUACAAAUCUUAUCUGGAGUGGUGAAGAGCACUGGGGUGGAAGGCACUCCUGCAAGUGAGGGUUGAUCCGUCAUGUUCUUCAGUUCAAAGGUAAAAUUGAGUCAUUACAGAUAAAGAACACCACGUGUUGGAAGCUGCCUCCCAAGGCAACAGAAUCCAAUUCAUCCAAGCUGUGAACACCCUCACUGGCUGCCACCAAGUUUUGGCCUUCAACAGUGAAGGGAGGGUGCUUCAAGAACCAAAGCCAUAGUAAAUAUUUUGAAAGCAAUGGAGACUACUAGUAACUAUACCACCUUCUUACAGAGAUCAACUGCAUCCAGACUGUGCCAUGGAUGGAAACUCACUAGCAAUCUGCAGGCCCAUUCCCUUGUCCGUUCCUGAACUUGAGCCUCCUGCAUGAAGGUUAUAUUUUUAUCUGUUGAGAGUUCUUGUUCAUGGAGUAUGAAUCCGAUCAAAGUGACUGUACAUAGUUUUAAUACAAACUGUUAAUGAAAAUAAGCUUUAUUACGUCAAGUAAUAAAUACAUACAAAGAUGCAAAUAACAGUUUUAGUAAUUUAUCCAGAAUUCUCUUUUUUUGGCAAACUUUAAACUGAAAUCUCCAGCCUUAAUGUAGAACUUAGCUUUCCAGGACCUUGUUAUUAUUCAAUAGGUUUCCCUGUUUUCCAUAUAACUCAUGCACUUUAAGUGGACUUCAAAGCACUAGCAGUCAUGCAAUUGUUUAUGCAAAACAAACAAAAAAGGAAAAAAAAGAGAAGGGGAAGGUUAUUUCUAAGCAGGGUCUAUGCUGUAUGACAAAUUGUGACUUAGCAGACUACUAGGUACAGCAUGCUAUUCUGCAUUUAUUAAAAAAAAUCCUUAGAGCUUAUGUCAAACUUUGAAAGAUUGACAGUUUGGGGUUAAGUGAAUAUAGUCAAAGGAAAAAAAAACAGAAUGAGACUGUGGCUGGAUAAGAAGAGAACUGAAAUAUAGCCUGGGAGAGAAAGAGCAUUCCUCUGCAUGCAGUUCAGUUUUCUUGUUUUAGAAACAUUUUAGGGAGUUUUAAUGUCUUUACAAAAUGCAAACUCUCAGUAAGUUGAAAAACCCUUGUUUUCUCAUUCUUAACUAUACAUUUUUGUAAGGGCAAAACAAGAAAGGUAAAACAUUCAAAAUAAAGGAAUUUGUCUGAAUGUUUCAAGAGUCAAAAGGA